rnacentral:rRNA from 1 species
UACAGAGGUCCCAAGCGUUGUUCGGAUUCACUGGGCGUAAAGGGUGCGUAGGUGGUGAGGUAAGUCGGAUGUGAAAGCUCGGAGCUCAACUCCGAAAUGGCAUUGGAAACUACCUUGCUCGAGGGUUGGAGGGGGGACUGGAAUACUUGGUGUAGCAGUGAAAUGCGUAGAUAUCAAGUGGAACGCCAGUGGCGAAGGCGAGUCCCUGGACAACUCCUGACACUGAGGCACGAAAGCUAGGGGAGCAAACAGG